AUUGAACGCUGGCGGCAGGCCUAACACAUGCAAGUCGAGCGAGCGGCGGACGGGUGAGUAAUGUAUGGGGACUGCCCGAUAGAGGGGGGUAACUACUGGAAACGGUGGCUAAUACCGCAUCCUGUCGGAUAACCCAUAUGGGAUUAGCUAGUAGGUAAGUUAAUGGCUUACCUAGGCGACGAUCCCUAGCUGGGCUGGGAGAAUGAUCAGCCACACUGGGAGUGCGACACGGCCCAGACUACUACGGAGGCAGCAGUGGGGAAUAUGGCACAAUGGGCGCAAGCCUGAUGCAGCGAAGCCGCGUGGGGGAUGAAGGCUUGCGGGUUGUAAACCUCUGUCGCUAUCGAACGGGUAGGUGGAGAAGAAGCGCCGGCUAACUACGUGCCAGCAGCCGCGGUAAUAC
rnacentral:rRNA from 1 species